CUGGUUGAUCCUGCCAGUAGUCAUAUGCUUGUCUCAAAGAUUAAGCCAUGCACGUCUAAGGAUAAAUAUUUUUAACCAUAAACCUGCGAAAGGCUCACUAAAUCAGUAAUAAUCUAUUCUAUUAUUUAAAUUCUAUUUGGAUAACUGUAGUAAUUCUAGAGCUAAUACAUGCAAAAAACCUGAACUUUACAGAACGGGUGUACUUAUUAGAUAUUAAAACCGAUUACAAUUUAUUGUAUACUUAAAAUGAUUUAAAAUAAGUUUAUGAAUCGCAGAUCAUUUUGUGAUGAUAAGAAUGAAUUUCUGCCCUAUCAACUUUCGAUGGUAAUGUAGAGGAUUACCAUGGUGAUGACGGGUAACGGGGAAUUAGGGUUUGAUUCCGGAGAAAAGGCCUGAGAGACGGCCAUUACUUCUAAGGAAGGCAGCAGGCGCGUAAAUUACCCAAUCCUAAUACGGGGAGGUAGUGACAAGAAAUAUUGAUAUUGGACCCAAAGGGUACAAUGAUUGAAAUGAGAACAAUAUAAAAAACUUAACGACUAACAAUUGGAGGGCAAGUCUGGUGCCAGCAGCCGCGGUAAUUCCAGCUCCAAGAGUGUAUAUUAAAGUUGUUGCGGUUAAAAAGCUCGUAGUUGAAUUUCUGAAAAUAAAUUUGUGAUUGAUUUAACCGUCUUGAUCAAAAAUUAUUAUCAUACUUGGUGAGUGGAAACAUUUACCUUAAUUACUUUGAAAAAAUUAGAGUGUUCAAAGCAAGAUUCACAUCUGAAUAAUACAGCAUGGGAUAAUAUAAUAUGACAUUAGUUAAAGUUUGUUGGUUUCUUUGGCUAAUGUAAUGAUUAAAAGGGACAGUUGGGGUAAUUUAUAUUGGUCGGGGAGGGGUGAAAUCCUAUGAUCCUUCCGCUGGUUCACCAACGGAAACCUUGUUACGACUUCUCCUUCCUCUAAAUAAUAAGAUUUGAAUAAAUUAGCAAAUAGUCUUAAUUAUCCUUUCAAACAAUUAAUUCUAUUCGAUCCUGAAUCCUCAUCGCAUUAUUCAAUCGGUAGAAGCGACGGGCGGUGUGUACAAAGGGCGGGGAC
rnacentral:rRNA from 1 species